rnacentral:misc_RNA from 1 species
GUAGGUGAACCUGCGGAAGGAUCAUUAACACGUCUUUAUCCAAUAUCUAAACAUAACGUGAACUAAUAUUUUAUUGUCUAUGAAACUUAUGAUGAAUUUCAUGGAGUUUCAUGGCAAUAUCACAAUUUUUAAACCUAUAUCAAUUGACUUGAGCUAAAUUAUUCGAAUUGUAUUCGACAUGAGAUCUAGAUUUGAUUGAUUUUCAUUCUAAUUCUCAUCGUUGUGCAACUCGAUCGAUCAAUACGAAAUAUUGAGAACAACUCUUAGCAAUGGAUAUCUUGGUUCUC